GGGCAUAUGGUGUAGAUGGUUAUCACGCUCGCUUAGCAGAUCCGUUAGUCUUCAUGCGAGAGGUCUUGAGUUCAAGUCUCAAUCUGUCCA